rnacentral:rRNA from 1 species
AACGAACGCCGGCGGCAUGCCUAACACAUGCCAGUCGAACGAGACCUUCGGGUCUAGUGGCGCACGGGUGCGUAACGCGUGGGAACCUGCCCUUAGGUUCGGAAUAACUCCCCGAAAGGGGUGCUAAUACCGGAUAAUGUCUUCGGACCAAAGAUUUAUCGCCUUUGGAUGGGCCCGCGUUGGAUUAGCUAGUUGGUAGGGUAAAAGCCUACCAAGGCGACGAUCCAUAGCUGGUCUGAGAGGAUGAUCAGCCACACUGGGACUGAGACACGGCCCAGACUCCUACGGGAGGCAGCAGUGGGGAAUAUUGGACAAUGGGCGAAAGCCUGAUCCAGCAAUGCCGCGUGAGUGAUGAAGGCCUUAGGGUUGUAAAGCUCUUUUACCCGGGAUGAUAAUGACAGUACCGGGAGAAUAAGCUCCGGCUAACUCCGUG